rnacentral:rRNA from 1 species
AUUGAACGCUGGCGGCAGGCCUAACACAUGCAAGUCGAGCGAGCGGCGGACGGGUGAGUAAUGUCUGGGAAACUGCCUGAUGGAGGGGGAUAACUACUGGAAACGGUAGCUAAUACCGCAUACCAUCAGAUGUGCCCAGAUGGGAUUAGCGAGUAGGUGGGGUAAUGGAUCACCUAGGCGACGAUCCCUAGCUGGUCUGCGAGGAUGACCAUCCACACUGGAACGGAGACACGGUGCAGAUUCCUACGGGAGGCAGCCGUGGGGGAUAUUGCACAUUGGGCGCAAGCCUGAUGCAGCCAUGCCGCGUGUGUGAAGAAGGCCUUCGGGUUGUAAAGCACUUUCAGCGAGGAGGCGUUACUCGCAGAAGAAGCACCGGCUAACUCCGUGCCAGCAGCCGCGGUAAUUC